UUGUCUUCUAAAUAAAGACCAGUAUGAACGGCUAAAUGAGGAUAGACCUGUCUCUUAAGACAAAUCAGUGAAACUGAUCUCCCAGUACAAAAGCUGGGAUAUACUCAUCAGACGAGAAGACCCUGUGGAGCUUUAAACCAACUAUUAACAAGCAUAAAAUUGCACCUAAUACUCGGUUUUGAGUUGGGGCGACUUCGGAACAAAACAGAACUUCCGAGCACAGAACCACAAAUUCUAACCGCGGCCAACAGGCCAAAGUUAAAACCACCAGACCCAGUACUACUGAUCAACGAACCAAGUUACCCCAGGGAUAACAGCGCAAUCUUCUUCAAGAGUCCCUAUCGACAAGAAGGUUUACGACCUCGAUGUUGGAUCAGGACACCCAAAUGGCGCAGCCGCUAUUAAAGGUUCGUUGUCCAACGAUU
rnacentral:rRNA from 1 species